rnacentral:rRNA from 1 species
UAACCACUCAUACGGGAGGCAGCAGUGGGGAAUAUUGCACAAUGGGCGAAAGCCUGAUGCAGCGACGCCGCGUGAGGGAUGACGGCCUUCGGGUUGUAAACCUCUUUCAGCAGGGAAGAAGCGAGAGUGACGGUACCUGCAGAAGAAGCGCCGGCUAACUACGUGCCAGCAGCCGCGGUAAUACGUAGGGCGCAAGCGUUGUCCGGAAUUAUUGGGCGUAAAGAGCUCGUAGGCGGCUUGUCACGUCGGAUGUGAAAGCCCGGGGCUUAACCCCGGGUCUGCAUUCGAUACGGGCAGGCUAGAGUUCGGUAGGGGAGAUCGGAAUUCCUGGUGUAGCGGUGAAAUGCGCAGAUAUCAGGAGGAACACCGGUGGCGAAGGCGGAUCUCUGGGCCGAUACUGACGCUGAGGAGCGAAAGCGUGGGGAGCGAACAGGAUUAGAUACCCUGGUACUCCACGCCGUAAACGUUGGGAACUAGGUGUGGGCGACAUUCCACGUCGUCCGUGCCGCAGCUAACGCAUUAAGUUCCCCGCCUGGGGAUACAG